rnacentral:lncRNA from 1 species
GGAUGUACCUCUUAGCAUCCAACUCACUUCUGCCUAAGGGCAUCCAAUUCAGGAUUCACAUCAGCCCUCAACAAAAAUCCCUCCUUACCCAACCCAACACCUAAGUCAAAGCAACUUGUGUACUGACACUGAGGUUAACUGUAUGCACAUCCAGACUUAACUCACCACCUUUACAUGACCAAAUCACCAAUUCAGGCCUCUUGUGAGCUCUAGACUCCCAGGUACAAGUGCCUGCUGGAAUAUUACACCUUGAUGGUCACUAAGUAAGUUGAAAAUACAUUCAUCAACCUCCUUCCUUACCAGUCUUGCCCUCUGUCCCCUGCAUUCCAUAUUUCAGUAAAAGAUAUCAUACUACCCAAGUCCGAAACCUAGGAGUCACUAGUGUGACCAUCCUAAGCACUGCCCACCAACUACUUCCAAAGCUCUUUCUAGGUACACAAUAAAAUUCCAUUUUUCUGUUCCUUUAAGUUAGGUGUGGCCAUGUAACCUGCUUUGGUCAGUUAAAUAUGAGCAGAACUGACAUGUGUCACUAUUCUGAAGAAGCUCUGAGAACCACUGUUUGACUCUUUUCCUCCACCACAACGACUGGCAACAUUCAAAAGAUGGCUGGGACUCAUCAACUUCAUCCCAGAGUGAAUAACCACAAUGAGUAAAGUUCCCACCCCCACGAAUUUAGUCUAAAAAAUAUUUUGUCAGCCAGGCAGGGUGGCUCAUGCCUGUAAUCCUAGCACUAUGGGAGGCAGAGGCAGGCAGAUCACCUGAUGUCAGGAGUUUGAGACCAGUCUAGCCAACAUGAUGAAACCCCAUCUCUACUAAAAAUACAAAAAUUAGCUGGGUGUGGUGCCACACACCUGUAAUCCCAGCUACUUGGGAGGCUGAGGCACAAGAAUUGCUUGAACCCGGGAGGCAGAGUUUGCAGUGAGCCGAGAUCACACCACUGCACUCCAGCCUGGGCAAGAGAGUGAGACUGUGUCUCAAAAAAGAAAAAAAAAAUUGUCAAACUACAAAGAUCUGAAGUUAUUUCCAAAACUCUACUUAUUCUAACUGAUAAAUUAUCCUUGACCUUUCUGUCCUCAUCCAAUUGGUCAAUAUAUCCUGCUUAGAGUACCUUGUAAAUAUUUGUCACAUUAGUUUUUUCAUCAUUCUCAUUACCAAUGCCUUAAUUCAGACCCUCAUCAUUUCUCAUGUGGAUUACUUAACAGCUUUUAAGAAAUCACACAGCACCCAACCUCAAAUCCUUAUUAAUGGUCUUCCACCAAAGCUCCCACAGUGAUCUUUCUAAACACUAAAUUUCAUUGUGUCACUCCACAUAUCAAAUUUCCUUAAAGGUACUAUUCUGUUCUUGCCUCGUCAUGGAAAUGCACCCAAAAAUGAUACCUGUGGUUCCAGCAACACAUCACAAACAUAUGGGUCUUCAUAUAUGCUGUUCCAUUUGGUUACGAUGUCCUCGCUAACUCCCAUUUUGAAUGCUAAUUCCACUCUUCUUCAAGGCUCAAAUUUCCAAGUCUUCUGGUAAACCAUCUUAAGAUACCGCAAUCAUUAGGUACAGCCUCCUACAUGUGCUACCAAGACAUUCUAUAUUGCUUUGGCACAGGCCUUAGCACGGUUUCCUCAUGUGAAACCCUCAAAAGAUCCUAUAAGCUUCUCUAGCCAUAAAUGAUUAGUCACCAGUCUCAAGGGCCCAUUUCCCUGGCUGACCAGCAACCUCUAAUUUUGGAAGUCAGGCUCGACCAAAUGAGCUAGAUCAAUCAAUCAGGUUCUCUCUAUUGGGCUGGAAGGUGACUUACAGCAAGCUGUAAGCCAGAUGAUGAGUACAUAAUAGGUAUGCAAAGAAAUGGAGUAGAUAGAAACAAACUGAACUGAUAAUAACCACUGCAGAGAAAGAAGCAGAUAGUCAUCUUGAUUGCUGAUACCCUUCUGGUUCCCAGUACUAGUUCCCAUGAGGCCUGGCUGUACUACAAUCUUUAUUUUUCAACGCAGUGAAAUCUUUCUUUUUAAUAAUAAUGUCUCUUCUCGAUGUACCUUGGGUAACACUGUUUCUGUCCUUUUUAACCAAAAACAAUCUGUGAUUAUAAUAACCUACUAAAGCCCUAGCAAUUCCAACAGGAAUAACUCUUUUGCCUCUGAAAUCUUCAAGAGCCUGACAGUCAUCUCUGAAGCAACAUUUCCUAAACUGACGGAUCCUUUUGUGAAGGAAUGUAAAUGUUAAGUAAGCACUACUGAAAACUAAAACCACAUUUCCAAAUACCCCUAGUUGAAAUCUACUUCAUUUCAAACUUAAAACAUCCACAGGAAUAGGAAUUCUGAGUCUGGUUUGUAAUGCAACUACAUCUGAAGACAUGCCACCAACAUUUCAGAAGCCUGGGAACUGGUUAAAAAAAUGUUGGUCUGUUCUGAACAGCAUCAUCAUGGAAGUAUGGAUAUUAGGUACGGCUACUCCACUGAUUUAAGCAAUUUUCUUUUCUUUUCUUUUCCUUUUUUUUUUGAGACAGAGUUUCACACUGUCACCCGAGCUGGAGUGCAAUGGCGGGAUCCCGGCUCACUGCAACCUCCGCCUCCCGGGUUCAUGCGAUUCUCCUGCCGCCUCCCAAGUAGCUGGGAUAACAGGUGCACACCACCACACCCAGCUAAUUUUUUGUAUUUUUAGUAGAAACAAGAUUUCACUAUGUUGGCCAGACAGGUCUCGAACUCCUGACCUCGUGAUCCGCCUGCCUCGGCUUCCCAAAGCGCUGGGAUUACAGGCGUGGGCCACUGCACCCGGCCAAUUUUCUUAAUCUUCAUUUCCAAUUACCUUCCUUAAAAUAAAGACCAACUUACAUUUACUUUAUAAAAAUGCAAAUAUUUGAAAAUUUCAGGCAAGGUAACACUAUUUUAUUUUGACCAUUAUAAACUAAAAUUAUUAGAGUAGCAAGCCAACAAACAGAUAGCUCAUCAAACAAAUGUGUACUUGCUUGUGCCCAAGAGUUCAAGACCAGCCUGGGCAACAGAAGAAGACCUUGGGGGAAAAAAAAACACAUAAAAAGGGAUGACAUAUUCCAUUUGGUCUAAAUGUAUGCAUCUAUAGAAACUAGCAGGCCAGGCACAGUGGCUCACAUCUGUCACCCCAGCACUUUAGGAUGCCAAAGCAGGCG